GACGAACGCUGGCGGCGUGCCUAAUACAUGCAAGUUGAGCGCUGAAGGUUGGUACUUGUACCAACUGGAUGAGCAGCGAACGGGUGAGUAACGCGUGGGGAAUCUGCCUUUGAGCGGGGGACAACAUUUGGAAACGAAUGCUAAUACCGCAUAAAAACUUUAAACACAAGUUUUAAGUUUGAAAGAUGCAAUUGCAUCACUCAAAGAUGAUCCCGCGUUGUAUUAGCUAGUUGGUGAGGUAAAGGCUCACCAAGGCGAUGAUACAUAGCCGACCUGAGAGGGUGAUCGGCCACAUUGGGACUGAGACACGGCCCAAACUCCUACGGGAGGCAGAAGUAGGGAAUCUUCGGCAAUGGACGAAAGUCUGACCGAGCAACGCCGCGUGAGUGAAGAAGGGUGUCGGAUCGUAAAACUCGGUUGGUAGAGAAGAACGUUGGUGAGAGUGGAAAGCUCAUCAAGUGACGGUAACUACACAGAAAGGGACGGCUAACUACGUG
rnacentral:rRNA from 1 species